rnacentral:lncRNA from 1 species
GACAGUGACUCUCCCAAAUGAGGGAGUUAGUGAAUUAGAUGAGUGAGUGAGUGAAAAACUGUGUGAACUCGUACCUCAGUUUGUCUUUCUGUAGACAGUGACUCCUCCAAAGGAGUGAGUGAGUGAAUUAGAUGAGUAACACAGAACGUGUACCUCAGUUUUACUUUCUGUAGAGACAGACUUCGCCAAAGGAGAUGAGUGAGUGAGUGAGGGAAUGAGUGAAUGAUUUGAUGAGUGAGUGAAAAACAGUGUGAACUCGUACCUCAGUUUUACUUUCUGUAGACAGUGACUCUCCCAAAGGAGGGAGUAGUUAGUGAAUUAGAUGAGUGAGUGAGUGAGUGAGUAACAGUGUGAACUCGUACCUCAGAGCUCAGCUUUACUCGCUAUUAUAAUAACGCGGACAGCGAUGAGCUGAGUCGUUCUUUCGCUCUGAACCGCGAAACUCCGCUAGAAAUGUUGCCCGCCGUGACAAACAGGAGCCUCGACUUGUGGCAGGAGGGGAACAGCAGCACUUCUGAGAAGGCCGUUUCACAGCGGCCGUGGGUCUUUGCUGCUGCAGCACACAGUAAUGACUCCAGACCCGAACCGGACCUUCCAAACGUGGAUCCCCCUACGGAGAGGACUAGUGGCAUUAUCCCAGGGCUGAUAGCUGCUGCACUGUUCAUCGCCUUCCUUUUGGGUCUUUAUGCAAUGCUGUGGAAGUGCAUGGUGAGCCAGGCCAACAGGUAAGCCACAAAAAAACCACAUGCAGAUGCUUACUUCUAGUGUGUGUGUGUGUGUGUGUGUGUGUGUGUGUGUGUGUGUGUGUGUGUGUGUGUGUGUGUGUGUGUGUGUGUGUGUGUGUGAGAGAACGUGCAGUCCCUGUUUGCCAUAGACACUGUGAAAGGAUGUCAGCCUGGGAACAGAGACAUCAUCACCCUUGUGACCCUGAAUCAGUACAUUAAUAACUUUAUAUAUCAAUAUUGUGUCAGCUGUCACAUUUAUGUGGAUUGUCAGGCCUGGAAUCAACCUGGCCAAACUUUACUUCUGUAACUCUUGUUUUGUGCUAAUCAUACUAAUUUAUGUAGAUUAAAUUGUAGUACCUGGUUUUCAUGAGUAAUGUGGUGUACGGCAGUGUAACUCGGUAACAUGGUAUUGCCUUGCUGACCUAACAGGAGAAUGAAUAUGCGGAGGGUGAAGAUCCGCAAAAAGCCGGACCUGGCUGCUGAGGAACAGGCCUGAGUCAUGGACAAUGCUGUGGGGACUGUGGGAGCUGCUGGUAGCCUGAGGCUGUACCACUCUGGGUACCUUUGGGGCAACUGGGUAUCUCUCGCUCAAAAUGUGUCAUGUCUGCUCUGCUGCUUUUACAGAGGCUACAGGUUAAGAGCCUAAGACUCCCUGCAGUGCUGCGAACAAUCGCAUAUGGAUCACUGUGCUACGGAGUUGCCGGUAGCCACUAAGAUAUUUUAGGUGUUGGAAUGGCAGUAUUGCUGAAAUCUUUUUUCCUAUAGUAAAACACUUUUCCUUUGUGAGGUGCAAA